rnacentral:rRNA from 1 species
GACGAACGCUGGCGGCGUGCUUAACACAUGCAAGUCGAACGGUGAAGCGCCUUCCUUUUUGGUGGGUGUGGAUGAGUGGCGAACGGGUGAAUAACACGAGAGUAACCUGCCCCCUUCUUCUGGAUAACCGCAUGAAAGUGUGGCUAAUACGGGAUAUUCUGGGUCUGUCGCAUGAUGGGUCUGGGACAGAUAUUGUGUCGGUGGGGGAUGGGCUCGCGGCCUAUCAGCUUGUUGGUGGGGUGAUGGCCUACCAAGGCGGUGAGGGGUAGCCGGCCUGAGAGGGUGGACGGUCACAGUGGGACUGCGGCACCGCCCGGACUCCGACAGGGGGCAGCAGCGGAGAGUAGUGAACAGUGGGCACAAGCCUGAAGCAGCGACGCCGCGGGAGGGAUGGAGGCCGUCGGGUUGUGAACCUCUUUCGCCAGUGAAGCAGGCCUGCCUCGUUUGUGGGUGGGUUGACGGUAGCUGGAUAAGAAGCGCCGGCUAACUACGUG